GAGUCAACUGAAUACAUAGGUUAACAGAGCAAACCGGGGGAACUGAAACAUCUAAGUACCCCGAGGAGAAGAAAUCAACCGAGAUUCCGGUAGUAGCGGCGAGCGAAUCUGGAUUAGCCCUUAAGCACUCGGUGAAGUAGGUGAACAAGCUGGAAAGCUUGGCGAUACAGGGUGAUAGCCCCGUAACCGACGCUUCAUCGAGCGUGAAAUCGAGUAGGGCGGGACACGUGAUAUCCUGUCUGAAUAUGGGGGGACCAUCCUCCAAGGCUAAAUACUCCUGACUGACCGAUAGUGAACCAGUACCGUGAGGGAAAGGCGAAAAGAACCCCUGUGAGGGGAGUGAAAUAGAACCUGAAACCGUGUACGUACAAGCAGUAGGAGCACCUUCGUGGUGUGACUGCGUACCUUUUGUAUAAUGGGUCAGCGACUUAUAUUCAGUGGCAAGGUUAACCGUAUAGGGGAGCCGUAGCGAAAGCGAGUCUUAACUGGGCGCUCAGUCUCUGGAUAUAGACCCGAAACCGGGUGAUCUAGCCAUGGGCAGGUUGAAGGUUGAGUAACAUCAACUGGAGGACCGAACCGACUAAUGUUGAAAAAUUAGCGGAUGACUUGUGGCUAGGGGUGAAAGGCCAAUCAAACUCGGAGAUAGCUGGUUCUCCCCGAAAGCUAUUUAGGUAGCGCCUCGGACGAAUACUACUGGGGGUAGAGCACUGUUAAGGCUAGGGGGUCAUCCCGACUUACCAACCCUUUGCAAACUCCGAAUACCAGUAAGUACUAUCCGGGAGACACACGGCGGGUGCUAACGUCCGUCGUGGAGAGGGAAACAACCCAGACCGCCAGCUAAGGUCCCAAAGUAUUGCUAAGUGGGAAACGAUGUGGGAAGGCUCAGACAGCUAGGAUGUUGGCUUAGAAGCAGCCAUCAUUUAAAGAAAGCGUAAUAGCUCACUAGUCGAGUCGGCCUGCGCGGAAGAUGUAACGGGGCUAAGCAAUACACCGAAGCUGCGGCAAUAUCUUUUAGAUAUUGGGUAGGGGAGCGUUCUGUAAGCCGUUGAAGGUGAAUCGUAAGGUUUGCUGGAGGUAUCAGAAGUGCGAAUGCUGACAUGAGUAACGACAAAGGGGGUGAAAAACCUCCUCGCCGGAAGACCAAGGGUUCCUGUCCAACGUUAAUCGGGGCAGGGUGAGUCGACCCCUAAGGUGAGGCCGAAAGGCGUAAUCGAUGGGAAACGGGUUAAUAUUCCCGUACUUCUGACUAUUGCGAUGGGGGGACGGAGAAGGCUAGGUGGGCCAGGCGACGGUUGUCCUGGUUCAAGUGCGUAGGCUUGAGAGUUAGGUAAAUCCGGCUCUCUCUAAGGCUGAGACACGACGUCGAGCUGCUACGGCAGUGAAGUCAUUGAUGCCAUGCUUCCAGGAAAAGCCUCUAAGCUUCAGAUAGUCAGGAAUCGUACCCCAAACCGACACAGGUGGUCGGGUAGAGAAUACCAAGGCGCUUGAGAGAACUCGGGUGAAGGAACUAGGCAAAAUGGUACCGUAACUUCGGGAGAAGGUACGCUCUUGAUGGUGAAGUCCCUCGCGGAUGGAGCUGACGAGAGUCGCAGAUACCAGGUGGCUGCAACUGUUUAUUAAAAACACAGCACUGUGCAAAAUCGCAAGAUGACGUAUACGGUGUGACGCCUGCCCGGUGCCGGAAGGUUAAUUGAUGGGGUUAGCGCAAGCGAAGCUCUUGAUCGAAGCCCCGGUAAACGGCGGCCGUAACUAUAACGGUCCUAAGGUAGCGAAAUUCCUUGUCGGGUAAGUUCCGACCUGCACGAAUGGCGUAAUGAUGGCCACGCUGUCUCCACCCGAGACUCAGUGAAAUUGAAAUCGCUGUGAAGAUGCAGUGUACCCGCGGCUAGACGGAAAGACCCCGUGAACCUUUACUACAGCUUGGCACUGAACAUUGAACCUACAUGUGUAGGAUAGGUGGGAGGCUAUGAAGACGUGACGCCAGUUGCGUUGGAGCCGUCCUUGAAAUACCACCCUUGUAUGUUUGAUGUUCUAACUUAGACCCAUUAUCUGGGUUGAGGACAGUGCCUGGUGGGUAGUUUGACUGGGGCGGUCUCCUCCCAAAGAGUAACGGAGGAGCACGAAGGUGGGCUAAUCACGGUUGGACAUCGUGAGGUUAGUGCAAUGGCAUAAGCCCGCUUAACUGCGAGAAUGACGGUUCGAGCAGGUGCGAAAGCAGGUCAUAGUGAUCCGGUGGUUCUGUAUGGAAGGGCCAUCGCUCAACGGAUAAAAGGUACUCCGGGGAUAACAGGCUGAUACCGCCCAAGAGUUCAUAUCGACGGCGGUGUUUGGCACCUCGAUGUCGGCUCAUCACAUCCUGGGGCUGAAGUCGGUCCCAAGGGUAUGGCUGUUCGCCAUUUAAAGUGGUACGCGAGCUGGGUUUAGAACGUCGUGAGACAGUUCGGUCCCUAUCUGCCGUGGGCGUUGGAAGAUUGAAGGGGGCUGCUCCUAGUACGAGAGGACCGGAGUGGACGAACCUCUGGUGUUCGGGUUGUGUCGCCAGACGCAUUGCCCGGUAGCUAAGUUCGGAAUUGAUAAGCGCUGAAAGCAUCUAAGCGCGAAGCGAGCCCUGAGAUGAGUCUUCCCUGACAGUUUAACUGUCCUAAAGGGUUGUUCGAGACUAGAACGUUGAUAGGCAGGGUGUGUAAGCGUUGUGAGGCGUUGAGCUAACCUGUACUAAUUGCCCGUGAGGCUUAACCA
rnacentral:rRNA from 1 species